ACGUACGCUGGCGGCACGCCUAACACAUGCAAGUCGAACGAAGUAGCAAUACUUAGUGGCAGACGGGUGAGUAACAUGUAGGUAUCUGCCCUUUGGCCUGGAAUAACACGAGGAAACUUGUGCUAAUACCGGAUAAGUCUUUACGGAGAAAGCUUUAUGCACCAUUGGAUGAGCCUGCACUUGAUUAGUUUGUUGGUGGGGUAAUGGCCUACCAAGACUGUGAUCAAUAGCUGAUUUGAGAGGAUGAUCAGCCACAUUGGGACUGAGACACGGCCCAAACUCCUACGGGAGGCAGCAGUGGGGAAUCUUGCACAAUGGAGGAAACUCUGAUGCAGCGAUGCCGCGUGAGUGAAGAAGGCCUUUGGGUUGUAAAGCUCUUUCGUCGGGGAAGAAAAUGACUGUACCCGAAUAAGAAGGUCCGGCUAACUUCGUGCCAGCAGCCGCGGUAAUACGAAGGGACCUAGCGUAGUUCGGAAUUACUGGGCUUAAAGAGUUCGUAGGUGGUUGAAAAAGUUAGUGGUGAAAUCCCAGAGCUUAACUCUGGAACUGCCAUUAAAACUUUUCAGCUAGAGUAUGAUAGAGGAAAGCAGAAUUUCUAGUGUAGAGGUGAAAUUCGUAGAUAUUAGAAAGAAUACCAAUUGCGAAGGCAGCUUUCUGGAUCAUUACUGACACUGAGGAACGAAAGCAUGGGUAGCGAAGAGGAUUAGAUACCCUCGUAGUCCAUGCCGUAAACGAUGUGCGUUAGACGUUGGAAAUUUAUUUUCAGUGUCGCAGCGAAAGCGAUAAACACACCGCCUGGGGAGUACGACCGCAAGGUUAAAACUCAAAUGAAUUGACGGGGACCCGCACAAGUAGUGGAGCAUGUGGUUUAAUUCGAAGAUACGCGCAGAACCUUACCAACACUUGACAUGUUCGUCGCGACUCUAAGAGAUUAGAGUUUUCGGUUCGGCCGGACGAAACACAGGUGCUGCAUGGCUGUCGUCAGCUCGUGUCGUGAGAUGUUGGGUUAAGUCCCGCAACGAGCGCAACCCUCACUUUUAGUUGCCAUCAUUAAGUUGGGCACUCUGAAAGAACUGCCAGUGAUAAGCUGGAGGAAGGUGGGGAUGACGUCAAGUCCUCAUGGCCCUUACGUGUUGGGCUACACACGUGCUACAAUGGUAUCUACAACAGGAAGCAAGACUGCGAAGUUAAGCAAAUCCCUAAAAGAUACCUCAGUUCGGAUUGCACUCUGCAACUCGAGUGCAUGAAGCUGGAAUUACUAGUAAUCGUGGAUCAGCGUGCCACGGUGAAUGCGUUCCCGGGUCUUGUACACACCGCCCGUCAAGG
rnacentral:rRNA from 1 species